AGGCUUGUAGCUUAGGUGGUUAGAGCGCAUCCCUGAAUAGCGUGAGGUCGGUGGUUCAAGACCACUCAGGCCUACCA
rnacentral:tRNA from 1 species